rnacentral:rRNA from 1 species
UACGGAGGGGGCUAGCGUUGUUCGGAAUUACUGGGCGUAAAGCGCGCGUAGGCGGAUCUGCAAGUCGGGGGUGAAAUCCCGAGGCUCAACCUCGGAACUGCCUUCGAUACUGCGGGUCUCGAGUCCGGGAGAGGUGAGUGGAAUUCCUAGUGUAGAGGUGAAAUUCGUAGAUAUUAGGAAGAACACCAGUGGCGAAGGCGGCUCACGUGGCCCGGUAC